GGGCGCAUAGCUCAGCGGUAGAGCACUACCUUGACAUGGUAGGGGUCACAGGUUCAAUCCCUGUUGUGCCCACCA
rnacentral:tRNA from 2 species